GUGGCGCACGGGUGCGUAACACGUAUGCAACCUACCUUAUACUGGGGGAUAGCCUUUGGAAACGGAGAUUAAUACCCCAUAGUACAUUUGAUUGGCACCAAUUAAAUGUUAAAGAUUUAUCGGUAUAAGCUGGGCAUGCGUCCAAUUAGUUAGUUGGUGAGGUAAUGGCUCACCAAGACUUUGAUUGGUAGGGGAACUGAGAGGUUAAUCCCCCACACUGGCACUGAGAUACGGGCCAGACUCCUACGGGAGGCAGCAGUAGGGAAUAUUGGGCAAUGGAGGCAACUCUGACCCAGCCAUGCCGCGUGCAGGAAGAAGGCGUUAUGCGUUGUAAACUGCUUUUUUAUAGGAAGAAGGAUCCCUUGCGAGGGAAGGUGACGGUACUAUAAGAAUAAGCACCGGCUAACUCCGUGCCAGCAGCCGCGGUAAUACGGAGGGUGCAAGCGUUGUCCGGAUUUAUUGGGUUUAAAGGGUGCGUAGGCGGUUUAUUAAGUCAGUGGUGAAAGACGGUCGCUCAACGAUUGCAGUGCCAUUGAUACUGGUAGACUUGAGUGAGAUUGAGGUAGCUGGAAUGGAUAGUGUAGCGGUGAAAUGCAUAGAUAUUAUCCAGAACACCGAUUGCGAAGGCAGGUUACUAAGUCUUAACUGACGCUG
rnacentral:rRNA from 1 species